rnacentral:lncRNA from 1 species
AUAAUAAUAUUUAAAAGAUCUGCAGUCUAUCUGUAACUGUUACAGAUAAAGGACUCUAUCACAUAAAGAUAUUUGAGUAUCUGUGAGAUUGUGAUAGUGGGUUCUGAACAUAACUCUUUUAGGAAAAGAGUUGUACAAUUCUUUUAGGAAAAGAAUUGUGGGAAAAAUACAACUCCUUUUAGGAAAAGGAGUUGUGUGAAAAUAAAAGACUGAGACAUAUAAAUACUCCUUCUACAGAUUGAGUAAGUUGAUG